rnacentral:rRNA from 1 species
CCUACGGGGCGCAGCAGGCGCGAAAACUUUACAAUGCGGGAAACCGUGAUAGGGGAACUCUGAGUGCCCGUUAAAUCGGGCUGUCCACCAGUUUAAACAACUGGUGAAGAAAGGGCCGGGCAAGACCGGUGCCAGCCGCCGCGGUAAUACCGGCGGCUCGAGUGGUGGCCACUAUUACUGGGCUUAAAGCGUUCGUAGCUGGUUUGUUAAGUCUCUGGGGAAAUCUUCCGGCUUAACCGGAAGGCGUCUCAGGGAUACUGGCAGACUAGGGACCGGGAGAGGUGAGGGGUACUCCAGGGGUAGGAGUGAAAUCCUGUAAUCCUUGGGGGACCACCUGUGGCGAAGGCGCCUCACCAGAACGGCUCCGACAGUGAGGGACGAAAGCUGGGGGAGCAAACCGGAUUAGAUACCCGCGUAGUCC